GCCAGUCGUCCGCCGUCUGUUUCCCGUCAGUCCUUGGGCUUGGCUGAGGCGUUUUUAGAGAUUGUCUUACCCUCUUGUUCUCUCGCUGAACCAGUUUCAGGAGAAAAGGAAACAAUGGAGAAUGAAACAGGCCUGAAUGAAACAGGCUGGCAGCUGCCCAAACCCAGGGAAGAGUGAACCAAAUUGAGGCCCGCAUGAGGAACUCAGCAAAAGGGACUCUUUGGACCAUUUUGGACUUGAAGGAGGCCUUUUCUGCACACCUUUGAGUUUUGAAUCCCAAGUCUGCUUUUGAGUGGGAAGAUAGAGAUAAAGGAGUUAGACUACAGUACUGUUAGACAGCGCUUCCUUGGGGAUUUACAAGUUCACAAUACUUGGAGAAGUCCUGGCCAGACUUGGAGGACCUUGAACUAAACAGAGGAGGCCCUGCUCCAGAAUGCAGACAAUGUUCUGAUCACCAGUGAGACAGAGGACACCUGAGACCAGCAUAUGUAUUUGACUUCAAACUUCUUGGCUGAAUGAGGCUGUAAGGUGUCCAGGAAGAAGGCAGAUUCUCAGUCCUCUGUUAAAUAUUUGAGAUUUUCAACUCAAGGACAGAGAGCUGCCACUAAUGGGAGUGGGGAAGCUGUAACCAGGAUUGCGGUUGCCUUCAGAAGACACCGUGGGGGUCCUGGGAGUGACCAGGCUCUGCCACAUCUGGACCCUCAAUUUUAGACUCACAGCAAAACCUUUCCAGUGACCCUUUUGAAGGAGGAGACAGGGUUCUGCUAGGCUGGAAUCUUGGAAGAUGAACAUCCAGAAGACUGGCUCCAUCCCUGCUGGUCAGACCCUCAGGAGAACUGCAAUGGGAAAUGGAAACCAUGCUGAAGAAGGAGAACCUCGACAAAGGUUGUCCAAACCUGGCUGGCUCCAGCUCCACCCCAGACACUGGCUGCUCCCAGGGGCAGAGCAACCCGACCGAUCUCAAGUUGCUCUUCAGAAGCUGCAAGGAAAAAAAAACCCUGCAGGAAAGAAACCAAGGUGAGUGGGUUUGCUGCAGUGGUAGCUUUGUUCAAGUCAGAUGCUUUGGAAGGCAACGUAAUGACUUGCUAGAUUAU